CUAGUAAUCGCAGAUCAGAAUGCUGCGGUGAAUGCGUUCCCGGGUCUUGUACACACCGCCCGUCACACCACGGGAGUCGGAAAUGCCCGAAGUCUGUGACCCAACCGCAAGGAGGGAGCAGCCGAAGGCAGGUCGGAUGACUGGGGUGAAGUCGUAACAAGGUAAC
rnacentral:rRNA from 1 species